rnacentral:rRNA from 1 species
UACGUAGGCAGCGAGCGUUGUUCGGAGUUACUGGGCGUAAAGGGUGUGUAGGCGGUUGCUUAAGUUUGGUGUGAAAUCUCCCGGCUCAACUGGGAGGGUGCGCCGAAUACUGAGUGACUCGAGUGCGGGAGAGGAGAGUGGAAUUCCUGGUGUAGUGGUGAAAUGCGUAGAUAUCGGGAGGAACACCAGUGGCGAAGGCGACUUCCUGGCCUGUUCUUGACGCUGAGGCGCGAAAGCUAGGGUAGCAAACGGGG